AACGAACGCUGGCGGCAUGCCUAACACAUGCAAGUCGAACGAGACCUUCGGGUCUUUUGGCGCACGGGUGCGUAACGCGUGGGAACCUGCCCUUAGGUUCGGAAUAACUCCCCGAAAGGGGUGCUAAUACCGGAUAAUGUCUUCGGACCAAAGAUUUAUCGCCUUUGGAUGGGCCCGCGUUGGAUUAGCUAGUUGGUAGGGUAAAAGCCUACCAAGGCGACGAUCCAUAGCUGGUCUGAGAGGAUGAUCAGCCACACUGGGACUGAGACACGGCCCAGACUCCUACGGGAGGCAGCAGUGGGGAAUAUUGGACAAUGGGCGAAAGCCUGAUCCAGCAAUGCCGCGUGAGUGAUGAAGGCCUUAGGGUUGUAAAGCUCUUUUACCCGGGAUGAUAAUGACAGUACCGGGAGAAUAAGCUCCGGCUAACUCCGUG
rnacentral:rRNA from 1 species